AUUUAUAACGUAUUAAAAAAAACUACUUACUAGAUCUCGUUCAAACCAAUUUUCGGUGAAAGUUUGCAUGGUAAUGUACAUCAUAUAUUUUUUUUAUUUUAUCAUUCUGUUAUUUUAGAAGUUACAGGGGGGGGGGACACAUUUUACCACUUUGGAAGUGUCUCUCGCGCAAACUAUUCAGUUUAGAAAAAAAUGAUAUUAGAAACCUCAAUAUAAUUUUUGAAGACCUAUCCAUAGAUACCCCACACGUAUAGGUUUGAUGAAAAAAAAAAUUUUGAACGUAUAAAAAAAAAACUACUUACUAGAUCUAGUUCAAACCAAUUUUCGGUGGAAGUUUACAUGGUAAUGUACAUCAUAUAUUUUUUUUAGUUU